rnacentral:rRNA from 1 species
UACGUAGGAUGCAAGCGUUGUCCGGAUUUAUUGGGCGUAAAGAGUUCGUAGGUGGUUUGUUAAGUCUGAUGUUAAAGACUGGGGCUCAACCUCGGAAAUGCAUUGGAUACUGGCAGACUUGAGUGUGGUAGAGGCAAUCGGAAUUCCAGGUGUAGCGGUGAAAUGCGUAGAUAUCUGGAAGAACACCGGUGGCGCAAGCGGAUUGCUGGGCCAUAACUGACACUGAGGAACGAAAGCUAGGGUAGCGAAUGGG